rnacentral:misc_RNA from 1 species
UCCGGUUUGUCACCGGCAGUCCCAUUAGAGUGCCCAACUGAAUGUGGCAACUAAUGGCAAGGGUUGCGCUCGUUGCGGGACUUAACCCAACAUGUCACCACACGAGCUGACGACAGCCAUGCAGCACCUGUCUUCCUGUGGUAUUGCUACCAAAGCCGUAUCUCUACGGUUGUCAGGAGAUGUCAAACCCAGGUAAGGUUUUUCGCGUUGCUUCGAAUUAAACCACAUGAUCCACCGCUUGUGCGGGCCCCCGUCAAUUCCUUUGAGUUUUAGUCUUGCGACCGUACUUCCCAGGCGGGGUACUUAGUGCGUUAGCUCCGGUUCGGCGGGGGUCAAGACCCACCAAACCUAGUACCCAUCGUUUACAGCGUGGAC